GUCUCUCUCCGCACAGAUCGGAUGCCGGCUUGAUCCGCUCCCUUCGCACCGUGCCGGCGGGAUUGCGCCCGGAUAAAGUCAGCUCGGGGGAAGGCAAGAGCACGGUUCAUACACUCCCGGCCGCAGCCAUGAGCAGGGUGGCAUCCCCCUGGCACUGCUCAGCGCUGGAUGUGUUUGAACACCGAGCUGAGGACUGAUAGAGCCAACAGGCCACGCUGUGGUCAGUGACAGACUGUCAGUCACUGUCAGGCUCUGAAGAGAGGAGGGAAUCCACACUCACAUCACCUAGGGCCACCCCCCAG
rnacentral:lncRNA from 1 species